rnacentral:rRNA from 1 species
CCUACGGGAUGCAGCAGUGGGGAAUAUUGCACAAUGGGCGCAAGCCUGAUGCAGCCAUGCCGCGUGUAUGAAGAAGGCCUUCGGGUUGUAAAGUACUUUCAGCGGGGAGGAAGGGAGUAAAGUUAAUACCUUUGCUCAUUGACGUUACCCGCAGAAGAAGCACCGGCUAACUCCGUGCCAGCAGCCGCGGUAAUACGGAGGGUGCAAGCGUUAAUCGGAAUUACUGGGCGUAAAGCGCACGCAGGCGGUCUGUCAAGUCGGAUGUGAAAUCCCCGGGCUCAACCUGGGAACUGCAUUCGAAACUGGCAGGCUAGAGUCUUGUAGAGGGGGGUAGAAUUCCAGGUGUAGCGGUGAAAUGCGUAGAGAUCUGGAGGAAUACCGGUGGCGAAGGCGGCCCCCUGGACAAAGACUGACGCUCAGGUGCGAAAGCGUGGGGAGCAAACAGGAUUAGAUACCCGCGUAGUC